rnacentral:rRNA from 1 species
GACGAACGCUGGCGGCGUGCUUAACACAUGCAAGUCGAACGGAAAGGCCCUGCUUUUGUGGGGUGCUCGAGUGGCGAACGGGUGAGUAACACGUGAGUAAACUGCCCUUGACUUUGGGAUAACUUCAGGAAACUGGGGCUAAUACCGGAUAGGAGCUCCUGCUGCAUGGUGGGGGUUGGAAAGUUUCGGCGGUUGGGGAUGGACUCGCGGCUUAUCAGCUUGUUGGUGGGGGAGUGGCUUACCAAGGCUUUGGCGGGUAGCCGGCCUGAGAGGGUGACCGGCCACCUUGGGACUGAGAUACGGCCCAGACUCCUACGGGAGGCAGCAGUGGGGAAUAUUGCACAAUGGGCGGAAGCCUGAUGCAGCAACGCCGCGUGCGGGAUGACGGCCUUCGGGUUGUAAACCGCUUUCGCCUGUGACGAAGCGUGAGUGACGGUAAUGGGUAAAGAAGCACCGGCUAACUACGUG